rnacentral:lncRNA from 1 species
CUGAAGUUAUAGGAUGGAAAACUCAGAAGCCGUUGGCAGCUCCCUUUCCCCUCCAUGGAAGAAGCAACCCAUCAGCAAGAAAGAUACCCAUGCAGACAAAGAACAAGAGCCUGCAUGGCUUUGCAGUGCCUGAUUCCAGUCCUCCUUAGACCCACAGUCUUCUGCCUUAGUCUUCAGUCAGAGAACAUCAUCUUUCUAGUGUCCGGCCUUUGCAGUAUGGCCACUAGUGGUUCUCUGCUCUCUGCUUGACCUUAGUCAUGGGAGGCACCAGUGCAAGAUUGGCUCACCGGUGGCAGGUAGGAGUGGGUCAGGUUGGUCAUCCCUUGGCUCCUUCCCUGCAGGCUCUCUGGUGGUGGGGGGGCAGGGAUUGGAGGGGUGGGAUUGCUUUUUUUUACAAGGCCCAGGUGCUUGCAGUUGGCCUCCUGUGGAGAGCUGGCGUGUCUGGGUCAUCGUACUCCCUCCUUCCCCUUGUCCCCUUAGGAUCAUGGCUACAACAGUUCCCUACUGAAGAGGAGACCUCAACCCCUGUCUGGAUUGUUACACCUGCCUUCACCUCUGCAGACAGCGUGGUUGUUAAACCCUAUUCUCCACGAGCCUGGGGACACACACGACCUAAGCUUGCCCUGGUGGACGCUGGAUCCUGAGACAUUGAAUCUGGGGCAAUUGGAGUCUAGAUGAAGAGAAGUAUAGAG